rnacentral:lncRNA from 1 species
GGCGCCACGGUCCUCUACCCCUGCGUGGUGUAUGACCAUGGGCCCGAGAGCGCUCUUGAAUAAAAAUCCUCUUGCAAUUUGCAGCAAGACCCGUUUCUUGUGGGUGAUUUUGGGGUGUCGCCUCUCCUGAGUCAGAACGUGGGGGAGCCCUCACAUUGUGGGUCUUUCAUUUGGUGCGUUGGCCGGGAAACGCGACCACCCCUCACACCCGAGAACCGACUUGGAGGUAUGGGGAUCCCCUCUUGCGUGCGUGUGUGCCGGCCGGUGUCUCUGUUUUGAGUGUCUGUUUUCUGAAACGAACAUUGGAACAUGUGCUUGUUGUGUUGGGUUGUUUGUGUCUUGUCCUAUGUUUCUGAAGUACGGCGAAGUCUGAGUUUGGAUCCGUCUGAGUUUAUUGAACUUGUGCCUUGGUUUUCCGGUUGCGAGAUCGUGGGUUCGAGUCCCACCUCGUGCUUUGGUUUUACACCUGGCAGAGUGAGAAACAAGUGAGAUUCUCUGGUUUUGGUUGUCUAGGUAGAAGUGGACGACGGUGUUUGUAGACGAUGGGGUGAUGGGGUUUUCUGAAAUGCGCGCGUCUGUAUUUGCAGCUGUCCUUUUGGGCCGUAAGGACCGGAGGACUGUGGUCGGCAGACGUGCUAAGAGGACCACAGGCUGUGGCCCUGGGGGACGCCCUGGGAGGUAGGGAGAGUCAGGGACGCCUGGCUGUCUCCGGAGAUCGGUCAGAGGGACCGAGUUCUGUUGAAGCGGAAGCUUCCCCCUCCAACAUCGUCUAAUUCUUUUGCCUGCUUGUGGAGGACAAGAAAGGGUCGAGUGUGUCUGGAUCUGUUGGUUUCUGUUUUGUGUGUUUUUGUGUAUGUGUUUAGAGCUAUGUAAAAAUC